GGAAUAUUGGACAAUGGGGGCAACCCUGAUCCAGCAAUGCCGCGUGUGUGAAGAAGGUCUUCGGAUUGUAAAGCACUUUCGACGGGGACGAUGAUGACGGUACCCGUAGAAGAAGCCCCGGCUAACUUCGUGCCAGCAGCCGCGGUAAUACGAAGGGGGCUAGCGUUGCUCGGAAUGACUGGGCGUAAAGGGCGUGUAGGCGGUUUUGACAGUCAGAUGUGAAAUCCCCGGGCUUAACCUGGGAGCUGCAUUUGAGACGUUAAGACUAGAGUGUGAGAGAGGGUUGUGGAAUUCCCAGUGUAGAGGUGAAAUUCGUAGAUAUUGGGAAGAACACCGGUGGCGAAGGCGGCAACCUGGCUCAUUACUGACGCUGAGGCGCGAAAGCGUGGGGAGCAAACA
rnacentral:rRNA from 1 species